UUAUCUCUGUAGAGUCUGCAUAUCAAUAAGCGGAGGAAAAGAAACUAACUAGGAUUCCCUCAGUAACGGCGAGUGAAGCGGGAAGAGCUCAAAUUUGAAAUCUUCAAGGUUCUACCUUGACGAAUUGUAGUUUAAAGAAGUGUUUUCUGUUGGAGUUUUGGUAAAAGUUCUUUGGAAUAGGACAUCAUAGAGGGUGAGAAUCCCGUAUUUGACCAUUAUUUCCAGCUUUGUGAUUACACUUUCAAAGAGUCGGAUUGUUUGGGAAUGCAGUCCAAAAUGGGUGGUAAAUUUCAUCUAAAGCUAAAUAUUGGCGAGAGACCGAUAGCGAACAAGUACCGUGAGGGAAAGAUGAAAAGAACUUUGAAAAGAGAGUUAAACAGUACGUGAAAUUGUCAAAAGGGAAGCGUUUGACACCAGUGUUGUUUUCUCGAAAAUCAAUUAAAGAAGCAUGAUUUAUGUAGUUGUAUUAGACUUUAUCAGCUUAUCUGCCUCUAGUUUGAGCUUUUCUUUUAAUGCACUUUUCAGUUAACAAGUCAACAUCAAUUUCUUUUGUUGUAAAAGGGUCAUUGGAAGGUGGCUUUCUUUUCGGAGAAAGUGUUUAUAGCCUUUGGCCUCUGCAAUCGGAGAGAUUGAGGUCUGCAGCGUAGAUCCUUCGGGGUUAGAUACAUUUGUGCUAAGUUAUAGCCUUUCAUAGACAACUUGUUGACUAUGAUCAGUCAUGUAGCUUACUCGCUUAUGCUAUUUUACCUACGCUUAGGAUGUUGACGAUCAGCUGAGCGCG
rnacentral:rRNA from 1 species